AGGAAGAGCCAGGAUGCGGAAGUGACGUUCCAUUUUGUCUUGAUCGACGAAGUUGACAAAAAAAAUAGUUAUUUUUCUGUCUCUGUAUCCAGUUUAUCUUCUGUUCAUCGACAGAGUAAUACAGUAAGUGCUGCACUGGUAUGAAAACAUUCAUAUAAAGACUUUCGAGCCUCUUUGGCUUCGCAAGCCACCUCUGAAAGGUGUUUUGGGCUGACGGUUUGUAGCCGCUCUCCUACGUCACAGAUCCAACUUGUCAGUUUUCAGUCAAUGGCCUGCACUUUAGAGAAAGUGUUGUGCGACGCUCGGACCCUUCUGGAGAGACUGAAGGAGCACGACACGGCCGCCGAGGGACUGAUAGACCAAACCGGGGCCCUAGGACGGAGGGUGCAGGGCAUGAAGGAGGUGGGGAAUGCUCUUCCAGACAAGCACACAGAGGACAGUUCAGAGAUUCAAGAGCUGACAAAAUACAAGCCUCAUGUCCUUCUGACUCAAGAAAACACUCAAAUUAAGGAGUUGCAGCAGGAAAAUAAAGAAUUAUGGCUGUCUCUUGAAGAACACCAGUACGCCCUAGAACUAAUCAUGGGUCGGUAUCGUAAGCAGAUGCUCCAGCUGAUGAUGGCAAAAAAGGAGCUGGACACCAAACCGAUGCUCAGCCUUCAUCAGGACCAUGCUAAAGAAGUGCAAAGCCAGGUGGAGCGGAUAUGUGAGAUGGGCCACGUGAUGAGAAGAGCCGUGCAGGUGGACGAUCAGCACUACUGUUCUGUUCGAGAGAGGCUCGCUCAGCUAGAGAUCGAGAACAAGGAACUUCAGGACCUCAUGGCCAUCAGCAAGAGUUCAGUGAAGAUAGUGAGAGACGACACCAAUCAGCUAUCCUCUCCAGUAGCAGAGUGGAAACAUUCCCCACAAGCAGCGUCUGAUGAGUGAUCAGAGCAGCUUCAGCCUGAACGUUGGUUGAGCUAAAGAACAGAAAACAGGCAACAGGGUUGUGAAUUUUCUGGUCAAGGUCACUUGAACACAGCAUUUUAGCUUUCCUAAACAUUUACCCGUGAGCACGGACACAUGUGGGUUAUGAAAGCUUUUUUAAGUAUCCUUUUGUGCAGUAAUUGUAUAAUCACUGCUGUCAUGUUGGAUUGAAUUCAGCUUAACCCGUGACGUGGUUAAUGUGUUUAGUUUAUCACUAAGAUACACAUUAGAAGAGGCAAAGGGGCAUUUGUUUUGGGUUUUUUUUUUUUGGGUCAAAGGACACAGUUACUCUUUAGAUACAGUUUCUACCUCUUGAGUUUACUUUUGCUACGUUCACAUUCUCAUCUACUCAAAAUUAGUUAAACGCCUCCAGCAACACCUGCUAUUGCGAAAACCAGCCGGUACUCCACGCAGUGUGAGACUCCGUGCUCGCUGCCAAGAAAAUAACUUUUGGCUGUCUGACAAAGAUUUACCUGCUGUAUGGUUAUUUGGAAGCAGAGUGAAGGAACCAGCUCAUGUCUUUGUACAAAGUAAAAAAAUGUAAAACAUGCCAACUUUUUUGUGUAAUUGAAAUGUUUGUUGGAAACUGAAAAUUGUCAUCUCAGGAAACCAGUUUUAAACAUGUUACAACUUCAUGACAGUGUACAGAGUGUGUCAAAUAAAACUGAAUCUAUACAAUUA